AGAACCUUUUGGCUAUUUUACUGCUUGUCAAGCUGUCUCCCAUAAUUUCAUUUGUGCUUCUGUUAAAGUGAUCACACAAGCUUAAGAGAAUAAUCUUGGUCUAAGCUUUACUUCUGAAAACGUAUUGCAAAUAUCACUACCACAAUGUUAAGACAUUCCAGCACCAUUCUUUCCUUUUAGCGUACUUGGAGUCUCAUUUCUUUCUUACACCACUAAGCAGUUACCUUAUUUAAUUUCAAUUU
rnacentral:misc_RNA from 1 species